rnacentral:rRNA from 1 species
AAUAGAUACCCCGGUAGUCCACGCCGUAAACGAUGAGUGCUAAGUGGUUGGGGGGUUUCCGCCCCUCAGUGCUGCAGCUAACGCAUUAAGCACUCCGCCUGGGGAGUACGGUCGCGAGACUGAAACUCAAAGGAAUUGACGGGGGCCCGCACAAGCGGUGGAGCAUGUGGUUUAAUUCGAAGCAACGCGAAGAACCUUACCAGGUCUUGACAUCCCGGUGACCACUUAUGGAGACAUAGUUUCCCCUUCGGGGGCAACGGUGACAGGUGGUGCAUGGUUGUCGUCAGCUCGUGUCGUGAGAUGUUGGGUUAAGUCCCGCAACGAGCGCAACCCUUAUUCUUAGUUGCCAUCAUUCAGUUGGGCACUCUAAGGAGACUGCCGGUGAUAAACCGGAGGAAGGUGGGGAUGACGUCAAAUCAUCAUGCCCCUUAUGACCUGGGCUACACACGUGCUACAAUGGACGGUACAAACGGUUGCCAACCCGCGAGGGGGAGCUAAUCCGAUAAAACCGUUCUCAGUUCGGAUUGUAGGCUGCAACUCGCCUACAUGAACG